GACGAACGCUGGCGGCGUGCUUAACACAUGCAAGUCGAACGGAAAGGCCCUGCUUUUGUGGGGUGCUCGAGUGGCGAACGGGUGAGUAACACGUGAGUAACCUGCCCUUGACUUUGGUAUAACUUCAGGAAACUGGGGCUAAUACCGGAUAGGAGCUCCUGCUGCAUGGUGGGGGUUGGAAAGUUUCGGCGGUUGGGGAUGGACUCGCGGCUUAUCAGCUUGUUGGUGGGGUAGUGGCUUACCAAGGCUUUGACGGGUAGCCGGCCUGAGAGGGUGACGGGCCACAUUGGGACUGAGAUACGGCCCAGACUCCUACGGGAGGCAGCAGUGGGGAAUAUUGCACAAUGGGCGGAAGCCUGAUGCAGCAACGCCGCGUGCGGGAUGACGGCCUUCGGGUUUUAAACCGCUUUCGCCUGUGACGAAGCGUGAGUGACGGUAAUGGGUAAAGAAGCACCGGCUAACUACGUG
rnacentral:rRNA from 1 species